rnacentral:lncRNA from 1 species
AUCUCCACACGUACCCUCUCUUCCACUAAUCUCUGCCCAUCACCUCCCCUCUCCUUUUCCAUCAGUUUCGCUGUGGGCUUUGCUGGCAAAGCAGGAUCUAUCUAUACUCUCCUCACCAUCUCCUGAGCCACCUCCUCCGCAGCGUCCCGGCCAAGCUGGAACAGGAACUCGAUGGCCUGGUUGUCUCGUGGGCGCCCCCCGCGCCGCGCAUCCUCCAUGCGUAGCCAGAGCUUGAGGCCCGGCUUCUCUCCAUCAUCUUCCUCUGCCAGCUCCACGUGCACACCUCGUUCCUCGCGGAAGAACGCAUGGGCCAGGAGAUCCUGGAUGGUGAACCUGGGGACCGCCAGACAGUGAGCGGAGACCGCUGCCACUGCCCCAUCAUCUCCAUCCCGUCUCUGCCCCAGACCCCACCUCUCAUUCUUAUCCGUGCGGAUGCAGCCUUCAAUGAUCUCCUUCACCUCUGGCAUCUUCACCUUGUAGAAGCUGUUGGGCUUUGUGCCCUGAGAGAAGGGAUCUCAUGAGGCCUCGGGUUGCCUGCGACCCGCGAGUCUGCAGUGCAGGCAGGCGCCAAGGCCUGGGGGAGGUUGGGGGAGGAUGCUGGUACUGAAAACUCGAUUUCCGAUCCCAUUCCCUCCACAUAGUGUUGGUGUGACCUUGGCCAAGUCUGCCAGCUGCUUGUUCUCUCAUUUGUAAAGCACAGGGUAAAACGUUUGCCUGGCUCACCUAGCCGGGCAACUAGAAAGAUCUACUGAGAUCGGAUGUGAAGUUAUCUGUAAACUCUUUGGAUUAAACACAUUCUUACCA